ensembl:lncRNA
CAGCUGCUACGCAGGUGUCGGACUUCCAGCCCGGACUCGUCAGUCGUCGUCCGCGUCGUCCCCCUCGGACUCGUCCCGCCUCUCGUACCCCUUGUCCCGCUGCCGCUCCUGGAUCUCCUUCAUCUCCUCCGCGUAGCGGCUGAAGGCCCCCCCGAACUUUCCCCAGGCCUUGAACGGGACGGUGAUAGAGUUCCGGUAGCUGGGCUUCACCUCGCUCACCCGCAGGAACACGCCGUAUUUGUUGGAGCCCACGUCGAAGAAGAAGCGCUUGGAGUCCACCAUGAUGGAGGUGCCCUCGUCUAUGAGCUUAGCCAGCGCGUCCCGGAACUCGAUGAGCCCCUGGGCCGGCAGCGCGAUGGUCUGGCCGGACAGCAUGCCGCCCGCGGGGCCCCCCGCGCCGAAGCCCGGUCCGCGGUUGACGGUCUGCCGGAUGCGGAGGAACCUCCCCCGCUGGUUCUCCUUCAGGUCCAGGUAGUACUUGCGGUUCUCCCGCACGAGGAACUCGCUCUUGAGAGCCCGCCGCGGCCCGCCGUCCUCCCCCGCGGUGGCCUGGGCGAUCUGCUCCGGGCUGCUAGGCCCGAGCUGGGCGUAGUGCUCGAUGAAGUCCCCGAGGUAGUCGCGGAACUCGGCCGCCACCGAGAGGGAGAGCGUCAGGCGGCUCUUGGAGCCUCCGGCCCCGACCUCGGCGAUCUUGAUGAACCGGCCCUUGCUGUUCUGCUUGACGUCCAGGUAGAAGCGCUUGUUCUGGAUGUCGAGGCGCUUGGACGCCAGCUCCUGGGUCUCCUGGUCCCGCUGGUAGUGCUGGAAGCCGCCGCGCUCACUCCCGCUGUCGCCAUCCGCCAUCUUCAGCUCCACCAUUCGGCUUCUGCGCCUCUCUCCUGCGUAGCUGCUCCCCGCGCGCGCCCCUCACGCUCCGCGCGCAAGCACGCCAGCGAGCGUCGCGAUUGGCCCGGCCGCCUGUCACUCACACGGUUGCGGCUCUCUUAUUGGUUGCUUGUUUUUAGGUGUCACACCCACUUGUAAAAUCUCUCGUUAGCCAUUGGCCAGAUUGAGCUUCCGCUUAGUUUCUAAAGUAUCUGUUUUUAUAGCAAUGUUAUGAGGAAAAUUAGUUAUUUUCUGGAUUCAACUGGUAAAAUCUGUCAACAUACUUUAAAUGUCCCUUAAUCUCGUUUGCCAUGUUUUAAAUGAUACUAAUACUGUAUUCCCAGUGAUUGUUAAUGGUGGAGUAAUUUAAGAUUUAAUAGCAAUACAACAGCAUAAAUACUAAAGUAAAGAUGCUACUUUCAACAUGCAAAUUAAAAAUUAAACUACACAUGUAUUUUAGUAAAGUACUACAAGUAAAAGUACACACUAUGCAGAGUGUUGUGUUAUAAUAUUAUAAUAUGAACAUUAUCAUGCACAUUAAUUUGAAUUACAUCCUCAUUUAAGUUGUGUAUUAUUAGGUUGAAUCUGAAAAGUAACUUAUUCAAAUACAUGUAGUGGAGUAAAAAGUACAUUAUCUCUGGAGGUAGUGAAGUAAAAAAAAAAUUACAAUAUGUUACUAUGAGAUGUAGUACAGUGAAAAGUACAACAUGUACCUCCGAGAUGAAAUAUAGUAAAAAAUGAUUUAUGAAAUACUCAGGUAACUCAUUACAGGUAUUCUCAUUUGCGUUGGAGCUCAGUGCUUCAGGUACUAAAGGUUACUUUGCACCACAUGUGUACAAAUACUUGAUUCCUGCUGCAGUACCCAGAUGUGCCCGCUGGGGGCAGCAGAGCGUCACUUUCCUCUCAGCAGCUGCAGAAGAACCGACAGUCUCUCUACGAUUGUUUCAAGCCUAAAUGACUAUUUCACCUAAGUAAAAGUAUUAAUACAACAAAAUAUAAAUUCUCUAAACUAGAUCACUUAUAUUUAGAAAAUAUAGAAGUUUAAUGAAACUUUUUUCACAUUUCACUGACAAAAUCAAUCACAUUAUUUUGUAAGAAAAUACAUCAAAUAAUUUAAGAUUUUCAGGAGUUUUUGUUUGUACAUCAUGAAACAUGUUUGUGUUUUUGUACAAGGCAACUAGUUCAUAAAAUACUACAACGAUACAUAAAUAUUGCACCACUUUCAUCGAUAGAAAGAUACUUAACUCGCAUUUAUUCCGAUUAAACUCGUCCAGUUUGCAACUUCAUAACGUCAACAUCACAUCACAGGAUCGAUGACAAGGUGAUUAUUGAUGACAAACGUCGUCCCUCGUGAGACAAAACUCUCAUCGAUCAUCAGACAACUGAAACGUGUCCUUUGUUAAAUGAGCCUCAUCGGCAGCAUGAAAGCACUCAGCUGUGUGACGUCAUCACUUUUCUUCUUUUAAUUGGAUCAUUUGACAUGUUUUAAUGUAUGUGAAGUUUGUGUUUUGUCUACAAUCUAUAAGAAAUAACAUCGGUGGAGUACGUACUCCAAUUUUUUCCCUGAGGUAAAAGUACCUGUACUACAGGCUAUAAAUAUGUAUUUAAAAUCCUAAAGUACAGGAGUUACUACAAAUUUUGAGUAAUAAUUCAAUUUGGAUAAUUAAUGCUGAUGAUUAAAAACUACAAUAUUUAUGAAGUAUAACACAACAAUACAGUACAUUCACCUUAAAAACGUACGUAUGUAUAUAGUAUAUACCCAGUAUAUAUGGAGAUAUAUUUUAUUGUUUGAUUAUUAAUACUGUGGUAUAUUAUGUACAAAAGUAGUGGAGUAAAAGACAAAUAAGUAAAAGUAGUACAACAUUUAGAAUUAUACAGUAGUAUAAAAUAAAGUACCUGCAUUCAGUGACAUUCCACCUCACACAUUGACUCUGAGGGUGAAAACGCAUCAGACGACCCGUAAAGUCUGAAUAAUGAUUUUAUUUUUUUCACAGAGACAAAGAAACAAAAGCCUUCACAUUUAAAUAGAUUGUAACCGUCCAAUCAGUGACCUGCACAACAACAACAACAACAACGACCAUCACAGAACCUCACAGCGUGACCUCAGUAGUACUGCGGGUACGCGGCGUAGGGCGGGGCGUACUGGCAGAACGGGUCCAGGUGGAGCGAGGGGAGGGCGGGCGCAGCGGAGCCGUACUGCAGGCCGUGCGGAUGGAGGUAGGGGGCGGAGCCGGGGGCGGCGUCCUGCGGCGCCGGGGGGUACCGUCGGUAGGGGGCCGGCCUGCAGGCCUGCAGCUCGGGGUGGUGCAGGAAGCGGGAGGCGGCGUCGGCGUGGCAGGCGUGGGCGAGGGCGUCCUGCACCGUCCUCUUCAGCUUCAUCCGCCGGUUCUGGAACCAGUUUCUGAUCUGAGGAGAGAAAAACGUUUAGGAUCAAACAUCGAUGAUUAAUGCUAAACACUCAUUGGUGAUCACUGAUUGAUGAUAUUGAUACAUAUUGAUGACCCCCCCCCCCCCCCUCACCUGUUUAUCAGACAGCUGGAGCUUCUUGCAGAGCUCCGCCUUGUCCUGCGUCCCCAGGUAGGCGUUCCUCUUGAAGGACCUCUCCAGGCUGCCGAUCUGCUCCGCCGUGAAGGCCGUGCGGGGCCUCCUCCCCGGCGGGGGGGGGCGGCGGGGAGGCGGAGGCGGCGGAGGCCGGGG